AUGUCACAUAGAGGAGGGAGAAAGGUUCUUUUCUGCUGCUCCAGAGAAGCGGACACGGAGCAAUGGAUCCAAACUACAAGAAAGAAGAUUCCACCUAAACAUUAGGAAGAACUUCCUGACAGUAAGAGCUGUUUGACAGUGGAAUUUGCUGCCAAGGAGUGUGGUGGAGUCUCCUUCUUUGGAGGUCUUUAAGCAGAGGCUUGACAACCAUAUGUCAGGAGUGCUCUGAUGGUGUUUCCUGCUUGGCAGGGGGUUGGACUCGAUGGCCCUUGUGGUCUCUUCCAACUCUAUGGUUCUAUGGUUCUAUGAUUCUUAUUGCUUCUCGGUUUAAUUUUUGUUUGAAGGAUAUUGUGUUGUUAUAUUAUUUGGUAUUAUUAUUAUUUAUUAUUACUCUUAGCUGACCUGGUAUUCAACAACAAAAGGCAAAGACCUGAGGGCUGGCUAAGAGGACAACUGCAGUUCCCCAGGUUGGAGGAAGGGUUGGCACAUGGCCUGCCCCAACUCCCACCCCAUAUCUGCCCCUACCCUGAACCACUGUGAUUGGGGCACUCACUGCUCUCUCCCACUCCCCUCUUCCCUGGCACAUCCCACAACGAAUCUUGAAUUUAAACACAUACCAGUUACAACAGUUUAAAACAAUUCAAAAUAAUUAAAAGCAGUUUAAAACAUUUUUGACAGGUGGGGCGAUGACAACAGAACUGGGACAGCAUCCCAACUCAACUUCCAAAGUUUCAGUCUGUUGGUCAGUCAGUCAGGGCCCCGCCCACCCCAGGCCAGGUGGAAGAGGCCUGCCUGCCAGGCCAGGACUCAUAGCUGAGAUGGAGGGGUUCACAGCAUUAAAUUUCUGAGAGAGUCUUGCUUCACAGCAGCUGUGGAUUCAGGAAGAAAUCUACCACCGUAUUCUGACCCUCUCCCCAGCUUUCUUCCCUUUAACAGCCUGCAACCCUGUUUGUUCCCCUUUAGUUCACACAAUGGCCAACCCUAAAACUCUCCUUCAAAUUCUUUGUCUUCUAAGUGAGUUGAGGGAGGAGCAUGGAGCUCCCUCUUUUUGGCUUUCCUAAUGGCUCAUCUAAGGUCUAAGGGUGAAGUCCUGCUCCUGUCCAUCAUAAUACUGGACAGAUCAAUACAGGGUUUUGAGAGAGGUUAAUUUUAACUAUUAAGUGAGAAAUAGCAGCCACAGUCUAGGCCAGAAGUGUUUUCCCUUGGUGACCCCGCCAUGUUGAAAAGUGUGUGUGUAUGAAUGGUGUUUCCUGUCCUGUCCAGAAAUGCACUGUGCUAGAUGAAGCAGGGUCUAGAACUUUUCUAAAUAAAUUGAAUAAAACUGCUUAACCCACUGAAAGAUAUAUUUGAAAAGUGAAUAUUAAGCCAGGUAGGUAAAGUAAUGGUGUCAUGUCCUCCAUUGUGACACGUCCCCCUGCUGAGUGACUUGGCUGAGAACUUUGGGAAGAGCAACCAUUUGAGGAUAGCUAGUCCAGGCAAGAGGAGCUAGUUUGUGACAAAACAAAUAAGUUUUCCAGUGCAUUGAAGAGAUUCUUUUCAUCUCAAGUGUAAGUAGGAUUUCUAAUUCUUUCUACAUUCCGCUUCUUUCACUUUUCCUUCCAUGAAAAUCCAUCACUAUAUGGAGCUGCAUGGGCUGCUGUCCUGGUCUUGUGGACAAGUGUGUUGGAAGGACAGAAGAUAAACAAUGAAAUUUGCUACCAUAACAUCUUAGAGACAGCCACAAACUUGAAUGGUUUUCUAGGAGAAUUAAACACAUUUGUGGAGUAUCCAUGGCUACUAGCCAGGAUGACUUAUGUAUGGCCCUGAAUGCCAGUUGCUAAAGAGCUCAAGUAGGGAGAGUGCUAUCUGCUUCCAGGCUUUGCGUGGGCAUCUGGUUGGCUACUGUGAGAACAGGAUGCUGGACUAGAUGCAAUUUGGGUCUGAUCUGGCACACUCUGCUUCCAUUCCCACAUAGUCUCAGUCUUCCUGCAAGCACUGAACUCCAUUGAUCUGACUUUAGCUGAGGUUUGCAGAAUGCAAAUUUGCACAGGCUUCUAAAGAUGUGCAAUAAUUAUAGGAGGAGAGUACCUUAAGGACAAAAAGUCAACUCCUUGACACUGGUGGACAUGCCAGUCUGCUUUAUGGCAGCUUUACUGACAGGCUGUAUCACUUGGCUGUCCUGGGUCUCACCAAAGAAGAUUAGCCUGCUAAAAAAGAUGAUGAACUCAAACACUUGGUAUCUGCUUGUUUCUUUUGAAAAAAACAAAACAAACAAGAAAACCUUUUGUAGGUCUUUCCAUACCAAUUACUUUUGAAUUAUGUAUGCCUCAUGUCUUCUGAAUCUCAUCUAUGCCUAUCCUUCAAAUAAAUAAGAAAAGGAUGAAUAUCAAAAAAGGGAUAUUAUCUUGGUGUCAGAACCAGUUCCUGUCUGAUGGGAGACAGAAAUUGUAAGUAAGCAACCUGUCCUGUGAGCAAGCCUGACCUGGAAGUUUUAAUAAGGGUUGGGCUGUGCCACACAACCCGGCUCUUUUUUCGUAUUGCUGUGGAGAAGCUUCCUUUUUGAUUUUAGGAAAAACAAAGCCCGUUUCGCACAGUGCAUCACUCAGUCUCACAAGAUGUAGAGAUAGCCACCAGCCAGGAUGGCUUUUAAAAGAGGAUUCCACAAAUUCAUGGAGGAUAAAGCUAAAAAUGGCUAACUAGUAAUGGUGACUAUGUUCUACCCAGUGGCUCCAGCACCGGGGGCAGAUAGCAGCCGGGGCGUGGCUGGCGCACAUCCCGGGGGGCAUGGCGCGCAUCCUGGGGGUGUGGCACACGUCCUGCGGGGGCGUGGCGCCCAGCGCGGUGGGGCAGCCAUGAUGGCACCCCACUGGGAUUGUGGUGCCGGGGGCGGUGCGCGCCCCCACCCCCCUCUUCCUCCACCAGUGGCAGAAUAGCUCUGAGUCAGAGGUGGGAGAGUGCUGCUGUGCUGGGGUCCUGCUUUGGGGCUUUGCCUGGGCAUCUGACUGGCACUGUGAGAACAGGGUGCUGGACUAGAUGAGCCCCUGGCCUGAUCCCACUGGCUCUUCUUUUGUCCUCUCCUUCGGUCAGAGUUCAGCGGCAGAACUGACAUCUCCAUAGUCCAAGGUUCAGGAGAGUGACGGACUUUCAUCAUGAUAUCUGGAUGUUUUAAAGCCAUGCAUGGGGAGUUGUAGACCCUUGCAGCCGAGCCGCAACAGAAAACCUCCUGGUGAAUAUAUUUAGGAUAACAACUUCCACCUUUAUUCACAUCUGUGUAAGCCAUCUUUCCUUCCUAGAAAUGUUCAACAACAUUUAAGGACAUCAUACCUCAUUUCCUCACUCUUAUCUAUUUAUUUAUGUUGCCCGGAGCUGUGGCUAAAUUUAAUCCAGGCUAUUGGACACAAUAGCCUAUAAAUAUGAUUUCAUUUGUAAAUAUUUUCCUUCUUAAGGCAUCUAGGAAUUAUUACACUAGCCACUAGCUCACAGUCUAAUAUACUGUUUUAAAAGAACAGUGUUUUAAUCCUUGGAUAGGUAAGAGGAGCAACUCUGAAGCAGGUAGUGGUGGUUGUUUGCUAGGAAAUAAAUAAUCCCUCCCAGUGAUUUAUCAUUAUGUGAGUAAAGAACUUUUUGAAGCCUCCACAUUAAGUCUUACUUUUAUUGACUGCCUUCUUUAAAGAUGAAUUGUUAGGCUUAAACACAAGUUACUCUCUGCUGCUGCCAUUCCUUGGGCAACUGUUUAUUACCUCUAACUUGAAAUAAAUAGCAUGCAAGGGGAUCUAUUUCUCCCUGCUUGAACAAUUGGCUCUUUCCUAGUGCUGGCAAUCAAUAGUAAUCUUUCUGGACAGAACUGCCAUUAAAAAUUAAAUGCUAGCUGAAGUUACUACCCCUCUAACCUCAUUGCUCCCCUAGCUAUGACAGUAAGCAAAAGGAGCAGAAUAUAAACCAUCCAGGCUAUACAUAAUAAAUUUUUAAAUAUAUUGCACAAGCCUGUAAUUUUCCCCUAGAUUGAAAUCCAUCCAUGUGUUUAGAACUGCUCAUGUGGAUGUUUCUGGUCUUAUAUGCAGCCAGAUUUAUAACAUUCAUAAACAUCCUAUACAAAGCUGGAAAGCUGGAAGCAAAGAUCCAAUUGUUUGUUGUGUCUGUAGCCACUGUUAGUCUACCAGUUGGUGGUGGGGGUGGGAAUCAAAGAUCACACAUGGUACAACUUAUUUAAAAACAAAUAUACAUGCAUAUGCACCCAUGAUUUAUGAUCAUUCAGAAUGUUUAUGAAUUAUUCUGAUUUAGAGAGCUGUCCAUCGUAAUUAAAAAAUAUCUUAGGAACAGAUCUUGUAUGCGUCAGGACAAUCAAAAAUGUGUUUUGAUUAUUUAUUUAUUUAUUUAUUUAUUUAUUCACACGGACCGAAUAUGCCCCCUCAAACGGCUUAUGCCCCUUAUAGAAAUAUAAUGUGUAGUGUUUUACUUGUCAUAUUCACUUUG